UCUGGCUCUUUCAGGGUCCGAGUUGUAAUUUGCAGAGGGCGCUUUGGUGUCGGCAGCGGCCUAAGUUCCUUGGAACAGGUCAUCAUAGAGGGUGAGAAUCCCGUAUGUGGCUGCUUGUCUUCACCGUGUAAAGCCCCUUCGAUGAGUCGAGUUGUUUGGGAAUGCAGCUCUAAAUGGGAGGUAAAUUUCUUCUAAAGCUAAAUAUUGGCCAGAGACCGAUAGCGCACAAGUAGAGUGAUCGAAAGAUGAAAAGCACUUUGGAAAGAGAGUCAAAAAGCACGUGAAAUUGUUGAAAGGGAAGCGCUUGCAGCCAGACGUGCCCGUAGUUGCUCAUCUGGGGAUUUCCCCAGUGCACUCUUCUAUGGGCAGGCCAGCAUCAGUUCGGGCGGUUGGAGAAAGACCUGUGUCACGUAGCUCUCUUCGGGGAGUGUUAUAGGGCAGGUGGAAUGCAACCAGCCUGGACUGAGGUCCGCGCAUCUGCUAGGAUGCUGGCGUAAUGGCUGUAAGCGGCCCGUCUUGAAACACGGACCAAGGAGUCUAACAUCUAUGCGAGUGUUUGGGUGUCAAGCCCGAGCGCGUAAUGAAAGUGAACGGAGGUGGGAACCCCUCGGGGUGCACCAUCGACCGAUCCUGAUGUCUUCGGAUGGAUUUGAGUAAGAGCAUAGCUGUUGGGACCCGAAAGAUGGUGAACUAUGCCUGAAUAGGGUGAAGCCAGAGGAAACUCUGGUGGAGGCUCGCAGCGGUUCUGACGUGCAAAUCGAUCGU
rnacentral:rRNA from 1 species